GGCAUUUUUGUGAUUUGCAGCU
rnacentral:miRNA from 1 species